ACAGAUUCUCCUGGCAAACCCUUUAAGUUUGCUUCCAAGUCCAGUCUGCAUGAUUAUAGGCAGCGAUCACCAUCAACUAGUUAAGAGUGCAGCAGAUUCACAAUGAAUGCAAUGUUAUUUUUGGAUAGGGAGAGGUGAAUGGAUGGCCAGGGAGCAGAGGCAGGGAGAGAUUUUUUUUCUUUCUUUCAUUCUCCAGGGCAUUAAUGAUGAUGAAAAUGCAAAUGAGAAAGCAUUUAAUGCUGAGAGGGAAAGCCUAGAGGAGAUUUUACAUUUUGGAGACAGACCCGGAACACUGCCGCAUAUCAUUGUUUCUCUGACAGUGGGGAAACUGGAUAAAAGGAUUCUCCCAGUCCCUGCCAUUGGCAUUUUCUUUUCUUUUUUUGGUAGCACAAUGUCUCAUUGGAAAUGGAGUUCAUGCUUAAGGGAAAUGAGUCUUAAUAAAGGAAGACAAUGUCCCUAAGCAGAUGUGAGAAGGGUCAUCUCAACCUGCUCUGAACCUAUGGGGCAGUGUGACACCUAACGCAACUUCUAAUUAAAAAGUGUGUGAACUGACUCAUUGACCUGCCGCUUGCUUGUGAGAAAGCUUGCAGCUAUACAAUGGGGGAACAAUCCUUGUCUCCAAUAGUCUGUUCAACUUUAACAGCUGACGCACCAGGAAGCAGAACAGAACAGAACAUUGGCACCUGAGCUGCCUUUAUCUAAGCCAGCCUUCGCCAACAUGGUUGGCACUAAGGUCUGCUGCCCUCUGAAACGAAACCAUGUGUCCACCACACUUGCACAAGGAAUUCUAGGAAAGCCAGCAAAAGCCACUCACUAUCUAAAGAGCUGGACCAGGUUGCAGCAAAAUUCAGUGCAAGUUCCACCUCUAUAAGUUCCUCCCAGUUGCGGUUUCCCAUAUGUAUAGAAUUAGAUUAUCAGUGAAUCUGAUUAAAACUGCGAGGUGUCGUGUAAAUUAUAAAUGCUUUCUACAUAUCAUAAAUAGUAACAUUCUC